UCAGGUAGGAAUACCCGCUGAACUUAAGCAUAUCAAUAAGCGGAGGAAAAGAAACCAACAGGGAUUGCCUCAGUAACGGCGAGUGAAGCGGCAACAGCUCAAAUUUGAAAUCUGGCCGCAAGGUCCGAGUUGUAAUUUGUAGAGGAUGCUUUUGGCGAGGUGCCUUCCGAGUUCCCUGGAACGGGACGCCAUAGAGGGUGAGAGCCCCGUACGGUCGUGCCACCGAGCCUCUGUAAAGCUCCUUCGACGAGUCGAGUAGUUUGGGAAUGCUGCUCUAAAUGGGAGGUGUACGUCUUCUAAAGCUAAAUACCGGCCAGAGACCGAUAGCGCACAAGUAGAGUGAUCGAAAGAUGAAAAGCACUUUGAAAAGAGGGUUAAAAAGUACGUGAAAUUGUUGAAAGGGAAGCAUUCAUGACCAGACUUGGGCUUGGUUGAACAUCCGGCGUUCUCGCCGGUGCACUCUGCCAGCUCAGGCCAGCAUCAGUUUGCCCCGGGGGAUAAAGGCGGCGGGAAUGUGGCUCCCCACGGGGAGUGUUAUAGCCCGUCGUGCAAUGCCCUGGGGCGGACUGAGGUUCGCGCUUCGGCACGGAUGCUGGCGUAAUGGUCAUCAAUGACCCGUCUUGAAACACGGACCAAGGAGUCGUCUUCGUAUGCGAGUGUUCGGGUGUCAAACCCCUACGCGUAAUGAAAGUGAACGUAGGUGAGAGCUUCGGCGCAUCACCGACCGAUCCUGAUGUUCUCGGAUGGAUUUGAGUAAGAGCAUACGGGGCCGGACCCGAAAGAAGGUGAACUAUGCCUGUAUAGGGUGAAGCCAGAGGAAACUCUGGUGGAGGCUCGCAGCGGUUCUGACGUGCAAAUCGAUCGUCAAAUAUGG
rnacentral:rRNA from 1 species